rnacentral:tRNA from 1 species
CGGGGCAUAGCGCAGCUUGGUAGCGCAUCCGCUUUGGGAGCGGAAGGUCGCAGGUUCAAAUCCUGUUGCCCCGA